AGACGGAGGGUCCUAGCGUUGUUCGGAAUUACUGGGCGUAAAGCGCGCGUAGGCGGUCUAUUAAGUCAGAUGUGAAAUCCCAGGGCUCAACCUUGGAACUGCAUCUGAUACUGGUAGACUAGAGUUUUGGAGAGGGAAGUAGAAUUUCAGGUGUAGCGGUGAAAUGCAUAGAGAUCUGAAGGAAUACCAGUGGCGAAGGCGACUUCCUGGCCAAAAACUGACGCUGAGGUGCGAAAGCGUGGGUAGCAAACGGGAUUAGAAACCCUAGUAGUCC
rnacentral:rRNA from 1 species